GUGUGUGUGUGUGUGUGUGUGUGUGUGUGUGUGUGAGUGAGUGUGUGUGGUGUUGUAUAGUGAAAGGUAUUGUAUUUUGUGGUGUUGUGGUGUUGUAUAGUGAAAGGUAUUGUAUUUUGUGGUGUUGUGGUGUUGUAUAGUGAAAGGUAUUGUAUUUUGUAGUGUUGUGGUAGUAAAAGGUAAUGUAUUUUGUGGUGUUGUAAAGUGAAAGG